GGUGUAAUACUUUAAAAAAAAGAUCAAAUUUGCAUUUUGAAAUUGGAGGGUACCUUCUUAUACUA
rnacentral:tRNA from 1 species